UGCCAAACACACCGUUUAUGUUGCUUUGUGCGUUUCGACCAAAAUUGUCGGAUUGUUGCCCAUAGUCGCAGAAACGCAGCAGAGAAAGAGACGAAGCGAUCCAUGGCAACGUCGUUUGAUAGAUCGACUGAGUGAGGCGGGAGCACACAACACACACACAGCUGGCAGCGCCUGGUGCCCAGGAAACGGAGCUAGUCGAACCGGCGUCCGAACCUAGCCCGCCAGGGUCGAAUCGAGUUCUCUCUCUAUUUCGAUGAUGGCGAUCCACGUAGUCGGAAAAUGGUUUCGAUUAUCGGUCAGGCCGGCAGGGUCGCUAGGAGGCACGCGAUUGGUGUCGUCGGUGCGCGCGCGUUCAGCAAAUCAGCCGCAUAUGGUCGCCACUGGCAACCGCAAUCGGUGUUCCAAUUUCGACGUCUGGUCCGAGUUGAGCGAACUGGUCGAGAAAUGGGCACGCCGUUUGCCGGUCGCGGUCGGACGCCAUUCGACAGGAUUGCUUCAGAGGCCGUCAAAAUCGGGACAAUGGGACGAAUUGUAUGCGGAGCGCAGCACCAAUGGCGGUGGAUUGUAGCCGCUCUCGAUGGCGUUUACGCCGGCUCGGUGGGCGUGAUCGGUUCUCCUCGUGUUGUCAGCGCAGCACAUGGCGCGACUCCGUGUUUGCGUGGGACAUGUGCCAAACCAUUUUGCGUCAAAUGCGUGAAUCUUUUUGGGUUCUUUGGGUGAAUGUUCUUUGCACAUCCUCGCAGUUGAGCUGGACUUGUGAAUGUGAAUUUACGUAAAUCUAUUUAUCUUUCUGCUCUGAUUCUA